CGAAACUGCGAAUGGCUCAUUAAAUCAGUUAUCGUUUAUUUGAUAGUACCUUACUACUUGGAUAACCGUGGUAAUUACUAGAGCUAAUACAUGCUAAAAACCCCGACUCACGGAGGGGUAGUAUUUAUUAGAUUAAAAGCCAAUGCCCUCCGGGGCUCAAUGGUGAUUCAUGAUAACUUGUCGAAUCGCAUGGCCUUGCGCCGGCGAUGGUUCAUUCAAAUUUCUGCCCUAUCAACUUUCGACGGCUGGGUCUUGGCCAGCCAUGGUGACAACGGGUAACGGAGGGUUAGGGCUCGACCCCGGAGAACGAGCCUGAGAAACGGCUAUUACAUCCAAGGAAGGCAGCAGGCGCGCAAAUUACCCAAUACCGACUCGGUGAGGUAGUGACGAUAAAUACUGAUACAGGGCUCUUUUGGGUCUUGUAAUUGGAAUGAGUACAAUUUAAAUCCCUUAACGAGGAACAAUUGGAGGGCAAGUCUGGUGCCAGCAGCCGCGGUAAUUCCAGCUCCAAUAGCGUAUAUUAAAGUUGUUGCAGUUAAAAAGCUCGUAGUUGAACCUUGGGCCUGGCUGGCCGGUCCGCCUCACCGCGUGCACUGGUCCGGCCGGGUCUUUCCCUCUGGGGAACCGCAUGCCAUUCACUUGGUGUGCCGGGGAACCAGGACUUUUACUUUGAAAAAAUUAGAGUGUUCAAAGCAGGCCUAUGCUCGAAUACAUUAGCAUGGAAUAAUAGAAUAGGACGUGUGGUUCUAUUUUGUUGGUUUCUAGGACCGCCCUAAUGAUUAAUAGGGACAGUCGGGGGCAUCAGUAUUCAAUUGUCAGAGGUGAAAUUCUUGGAUUUAUUGAAGACUAACUACUGCGAAAGCAUUUGCCAAGGAUGUUUUCAUUAAUCAGGAACGAAAGUUAGGGGAUCGAAGACGAUCAGAUACCGUCGUAGUCUUAACCAUAAACUAUGCCGACUAGGGAUCGGACGAUGUUAUUUUUUGACUCCUUCGGCACCUUACACGAAAAUACAAAUUUUUGGGUUCUGGGGGGAGUAUGGUCCCAAGGCUGAAACUU
rnacentral:rRNA from 1 species